rnacentral:rRNA from 1 species
CAAUAGCGUAUAUUUAAGUUGCUGCAGUUAAAAAGUUCGUAGUUGGAUUUUGGGUCGGGGGCACCGGUCCGCCGUUCCGGUGUGCACUGGUGGCCCCUUCCUUUCUGCCGGGGACGUGCGUCGCACUUAAUUGGGUGGCGUUCGGAGUCGGCGUUGUUACUUUGAAAAAAUUAGAGUGUUCAAAGCAAGCCAUCGCUCUGAAUACAUUAGCAUGGAAUAACAUGAUAGGACUCCGGUCUUAUUUUGUUGGUUUCCGAGACUGGAGUAAUGAUUAAGAGGGACAGUCGGGGGCAUCCGUAUUUCAUUGUCAGAGGUGAAAUUCUUGGAUUUAUGAAAGACGAACUUCUGCGAAAGCAUUUGCCAAGGAUGUUUNCAUUA